rnacentral:rRNA from 1 species
UACGGAGGGUGCGAGCGUUAAUCGGAAUUACUGGGCGUAAAGCGCACGUAGGCGGACAGUUAAGUCAGAUGUGAAAUCCCAGAGCUUAACUUUGGAACUGCAUUUGAUACUGGUUGUCUAGAGUAUUGUAGAGGUAGGUAGAAUUCCAUGUGUAGCGGUGAAAUGCGUAGAGAUGUGGAGGAAUACCGGUGGCGAAGGCGGCCUACUGGACAAUGACUGACGCUGAGGUGCGAAAGCGUGGGGAGCAAACAGG